UGGGGAAUUUUGGACAAUGGGCGAAAGCCUGAUCCAGCAAUGCCGCGUGUGUGAAGAAGGCCUUCGGGUUGUAAAGCACUUUUGUCCGGAAAGAAAUCCUUGGCUCUAAUACAGUCGGGGGAUGACGGUACCGGAAGAAUAAGCACCGGCUAACUACGUGCCAGCAGCCGCGGUAAUACGUAGGGUGCAAGCGUUAAUCGGAAUUACUGGGCGUAAAGCGUGCGCAGGCGGUUUGCUAAGACCGAUGUGAAAUCCCCGGGCUCAACCUGGGAACUGCAUUGGUGACUGGCAGGCUAGAGUAUGGCAGAGGGGGGUAGAAUUCCACGUGUAGCAGUGAAAUGCGUAGAGAUGUGGAGGAAUACCGAUGGCGAAGGCAGCCCCCUGAGCCAAUACUGACGCUCAUGCACGAAAGCGUGGGGAGCAAACAGGAUUAGAUACCCUGGUAGUCCACGCCCUAAACGAUGUCAACUAGUUGUUGGGGAUUCAUUUCCUUAGUAACGUAGCUAACGCGUGAAGUUGACCGCCUGGGGAGUACGGUCGCAAGAUUAAAACUCAAAUGAAUUGACGGGGUCAUA
rnacentral:rRNA from 1 species